AUGGCUCUAGGCAGCAGGCUGGAGCUCCUCGUCGUCCUCUCAAGAUGCGGCAGCUUGAUACUCGCUGGCACGGCGGCGGCGGCCAUCCCCGGCGUGGCCAGCCUACCGUUCCGGGCCAAGCAGUUCAUGUGGCACACUCUGUCCUUCGGAGGCAUCCUGUGGGGUGCGGCGCUGCUGCUAUUCCAGUUCUUCUGGCUGUGUUUCGACGACUUCGAGCCGGGAAGUGUCGCGCUCCUGGUGCUGAUCGCCGUCGACUGGGGCGUCGCGUGCCUCAACGCCGGCUCGGCGUGCGCCGCCCUUGCCGCCAACCACUAG
rnacentral:rRNA from 1 species